AGGGUUUGAUCAUGGCUCAGGAUGAACGCUAGCGGCAGGCUUAACACAUGCAAGUCGAGGGGUAACAGGGAUUGCUUGCAAUCCGCUGACGACCGGCGCACGGGUGCGUAACGCGCAUGCAACCUACCUUUUACAAGGGGAUAGCCCAGAGAAAUUUGGAAUAAUACCCUAUACGAUCAUCAAUUGGCAUCAAUUAAUGAAGAAAACUCCGGUGGUAAAAGAUGGGCAUGCGUCCUAUUAGUUAGUUGGUAAGGUAACGGCUUACCAAGACUUCGAUAGGUAGGGGUCCUGAGAGGGAGAUCCCCCACACUGGUACUGAGACACGGACCAGACUCCUACGGGAGGCAGCAGUGAGGAAUAUUGGACAAUGGAGGCAACUCUGAUCCAGCCAUGCCGCGUGCAGGAUGACGGCCCUACGGGUUGUAAACUGCUUUUAUACAGGAAGAACUAUAUCUACGUGUAGAUAUUUGACGGUACUGUACGAAUAAGGAUCGGCUAACUCCGUGCCAGCAGCCGCGGUAAUAC
rnacentral:rRNA from 1 species